rnacentral:lncRNA from 1 species
UUUGACACAAUUAUACGUGAGCUGAGAACUUUUAUUCCUUUUGCCAAACGUGAGCUGAGAAUUCACAACCAAGAAAAGAGAGAGAGGCUUCACGAAGAAAACACGCCAGCGCUCGUCUCCUCGUCUCCUCCUUCUUGGGCUGGAAAUCUCUUCCUGCUAGUUGAAGAGGGUCUCUUCUUCUGUCACCAUAAGGUAACCUUCCCUUUCCUAUUGAUGAUAGGACUGUUCCCUAUGAUACCUCACCCCUGAAAUUUUGUUUUUGGUCUUCUGGGUUUUGGAAGACCACUGCAUUUCGACCUUUUGGCUUGUUCAGUUCAUUGUUUCACUAUGUUUUUGGUAAGAAACUUGCAAAUCUUGCUAAUCCUUUGAAAAGUUAGAACCUUUUGUUAUUUUAAUCACUAUGUUCAAGAUUAUUGCGGUUUUUUUCUUUGAUUAUGUAUUUUCUUGGUCGCUUAUGUAUUUUCUUGGUCUUCAGGAUCUGAGUUUUUCUUUAACUUUUGGGGAAGGAAUCGUACUUAGAGGAGCACAAGUGAAAUUCUGA